GCGCUACCAUUAGUGCCCCUCUGUAUGUAGGCCGGACUGUGCGGAAUGGUGGGAACAGAGAACAACUUUUAACAAUGGAUCUCUAGGCUCUUGCAACGAUGAAGAACGCAGCGAAAUGCGAAACGUAAUGUGAUCCGCAUACACCUGUGAGUCAUCAAGUCUUUGAACGCACAUGGCACUCGCGGCCUCGGCUGCGAGUAUACCUGUUUGAGAAUCGGUUCCGAGUGGCCCUCCGCAGGGCGGGCCGAGCUGGCGGCUCUUGGCGCAGGCCAAGUCCGCUCAAAGGAAGCGUGUGGGGCCGGGGUCGCCACCCUAGCGCCGUGUGGUACGGGACAGUUUGUCUUUGCGAGCACGGAUGCAACGCCAGGGCGGCGGCGGCGGCACCAACCUGCACGACGGCCUCUCCCCUCCGGGGCGGGAGGCACUACGGCGCAGCCGUGAUCAUUGAUCUCAAAUCAGGCAAGGCUACCCGCUGAACUUAA
rnacentral:rRNA from 1 species